UUUCUCUGAAUUGCUCUGUACUUAAAUUGUCACACAUCCACAUACACACAUGUACGUACAUGUACGCGUAACAAAUAUAUUAUACGCGUGUAUAUUGUACGUUUGCUCUGCUCUCUCAAGAGUAAAAACAGACGACCCACACUGAUAACCUUUUUUUUUUUUUUUCUCACCAUUUAAGUGCCAGAGCCGCGCCAAUGAAGAAAACCACGCGCGUUUCGAACACAGAGAAGCUCCAUUAUCGAGCAAAGCUCCAAGUGCUACUGUGUGUUUUCUCAGUAUACUUUUUUGUUUGUCAAAUAGUUUUAAAUUGAGUAAUGCUUGGUCUACUAUUAUUGUAAAUUUGUACAAAAUCGGGUGUAACGUUCAGUUGUGCGUCUUCGCCAAAGCGUAUUGUUGAUUUUCCAUCACACGCGGAGAGAUUCCAUCAUACAGUGAUGUUUUGAGUUGGAAAAAAAGGCAACGAUUAAAA